GGGGCUGAAUUUUAAGCUCGACGUUGGACUUUAUCGGUUAGAUCAGCAGGUCGCUUGUCAGCGUAUAGACAAACUAUAUAGAUGCAAAAACACCUAUUAGCGAACUUUCAAAGUCAUUCGUAGACAGCCUCAAAACUGCCUUCGUUGGCCGCGAACUCGCACCAGCUUACGCCUAAAAAUGUAAGCAACGGCGUACGAUGACUCCGGAUGGUCGUGCACGUUUUAUAUCCUCUGGAUGCUCGCGUCAAAUUGUCCGCUUGCUGCGCUAAGACCAGGAUUGCUCGCUUGAGAUGUUUGUUUGUUUAAAUACUCAUGCGCUAAGACAGCAAAACAAACUAUGCCUGUAGACGACUAACCAAGAUAAACUAGCGGACGCGGGGGCAGUACCCGCCAGCUCCUCCA
rnacentral:tmRNA from 1 species